UAUAAACUAGUAUUAAUAAUUUAGUGUCAUCAUGCUAACUGAGACAUUGCAAAAUAUCUAUUCUGCAGAAUAACUCCCGAGCGGCAUCGCACGACCCUUCUCCAGGUGUUUCUCCUCCUUGAUGACCACUACGGUAAGUUUCUCUUCUCCUCUUUCAUAUAAUGACAUAGUUAGCUAAUUUAGCUCCAAGAAGAGGAGAAGAGGAGAAAUGAAAAGG
rnacentral:lncRNA from 1 species